rnacentral:rRNA from 1 species
GGGCCCGCACAAGCAGCGGAGCAUGUGGUUUAAUUCGAAGCAACGCGAAGAACCUUACCAGGUCUUGACAUCCAGGUAAAGCUGCAGAGAUGCAGUGUGUGCUUGCACAAUCUGAGACAGGUGGUGCAUGGUUGUCGUCAGCUCGUGUCGUGAGAUGUUGGGUUAAGUCCCGCAACGAGCGCAACCCCUGCGAAUAGUUACUAACAAGUAAAGUUGAGGACUCUAUUGGGACUGCCGUGGACAACACGGAGGAAGGUGGGGACGACGUCAAAUCAUCAUGCCCCUUAUGACCUGGGCUACACACGUGCUACAAUGGUCGCAACAAAGAGGAGCGAAACCGUAAGGUAGAGCAGAUCUCAAAAACGCGAUCUCAGUUCGGAUUGUGGGCUGCAACCCGCCCACAUGAAGUAGGAGUUGCUAGUAAUCGCGAAUCAGCAUGUCGCGGUGAAUACGUUCCCGGGCCUU